rnacentral:rRNA from 1 species
GUGAGGAAUAUUGCGCAAUGGAGGCAACUCUGACGCAGCCAUGCCGCGUGCAGGAAGAAGGCGCUACGCGUUGUAAACUGCUUUUAACCGGGAAGAAACCCCAGGACGUGUCCUGGGUUGACGGUACCGGAGGAAUAAGCACCGGCUAACUUCGUGCCAGCAGCCGCGGUAAUACGAAGGGUGCAAGCGUUAUCCGGAUUCAUUGGGUUUAAAGGGUGCGUAGGCGGAGCGUUAAGUCAGUGGUGAAAUCCUGCAGCUUAACUGUAGACUUGCCAUUGAUACUGGCGCUCUUGAGUGCGGUUGAAGUGGGCGGAAUGUGCCGUGUAGCGGUGAAAUGCUUAGAUAUGGCACAGAACACCAAUUGCGAAGGCAGCUCACUAAGGCGAUACUGACGCUGAGGCACGAAAGCGUGGGGAUCGAACAGGAUUAGAUACCCGAGUAGUCC